rnacentral:tRNA from 2 species
GGAGAGGUGACCGAGUGGUCGAAGGUGCACGCCUGCUAAGCGUGUGUAGGGGUAGUACCCCUACCGAGGGUUCGAAUCCCUCCCUCUCCG